UUAGCCUAUGUAUAAGUCAAGCCAAUUACUUCGUCUAGGAACAUUUGUAGCAUGUACAACAAUGAUUUAGCGACCUUUUUGCGGCUUUUCAAGGUGGAUCUGGUGAGUUAGAAUAUUUCUAUUUGGCAACUGCCCACCACCACCACAAUCAGUGACCAGACGUCCAUUUCCUCACCAGACACGAGACCUGGGAACACGGUGACCGCCCCACUUGCCCCACCUAGUCCACCAGCUCCACCUGCUCAGUGAAAGGGUGACAACAGGCAGAAUGAGAUGGACUUGGCGGAGGCUGUGGGCGGUCAAUUCACGGCGCAGAUUACCUACACCUUGCACCACGCUGAUUGCUCGCCGCUCUUCACUAAAGUCGGGCAAGCCUGUAUCUCCGUGUUUUGCCCUGGAUAUAGGAGUAAAUUGGACCGUUCGCACUCACGUUCGUGUUCCCAUGGGACAAGUAAAACACCAAAAGAAAGAACUAGUCUCGAUAACCUGGCGUAGUAGCAAUACACUACGAGGAAACAUCCUUGCCUAACACCCCUGAGUGGUUGUUAUAUCACUCAUCCUCCGUCACUGGUGGUGUGACUUCCACUAGUGUUGAAAGAGAGAAAGGGAUGGGACCGAUAGCGGAGCGAGAGCAGACCGUACAUGUGAAUGCACCAGGACCUUGACCAGAGCGAGAGCGGAGCAAUAGCAUAGCGAGAGCGAGGCGAGAACUUAGCGAUAGUGUGAAUCAAGCCUUAGCCUCAGAAGAUGAGGGGGCUUCGGCGCCGCGUCGGGAGCAAGCUUAGCUAGUGUAGUGUAGUGGUGUUCACUACAUGUGUGUGUGUGUGUGUGUGUGUGUGUGUGUGUGUGUGUGUGUGUGUAUGUGUGUGUGUGGG